GCGUUUUACUUCCGCCAGGGUGCGCCUCACUUCUUACGAAGCGGCGUUAAACGGGAAGCCGGUGCGUCAUCAGACAAUCCCGGCACUGCCCCCGCAACGGUAAUCGACAGCAGCCUUGUGCUGCACGCGCCUCAACAGCCACUGGGUUAAACCGGGAAGGCGAGGUUGCGCAGGUCGAGAGUCCGGAGACCGGCCCUGAUGGAUGCGACUGG
rnacentral:ncRNA from 2 species